UCGACGGCAGCACGGGAGCAAUCCUGGUGGCGAGUGGCGAACGGGUGAGUAAUAUAUCGGAACGUGCCCAGUCGUGGGGGAUAACGUAGCGAAAGCUACGCUAAUACCGCAUACGAUCUAUGGAUGAAAGCGGGGGAUCGCAAGACCUCGCGCGAUUGGAGCGGCCGAUAUCAGAUUAGCUAGUUGGUGAGGUGAAGGCUCACCAAGGCGACGAUCUGUAGCUGGUCUGAGAGGACGACCAGCCACACUGGAACUGAGACACGGUCCAGACUCCUACGGGAGGCAGCAGUGGGGAAUUUUGGACAAUGGGCGAAAGCCUGAUCCAGCAAUGCCGCGUGCAGGAUGAAGGCCUUCGGGUUGUAAACUGCUUUUGUACGGAACGAAAAAGCUUUCUCUAAUAAAGAGAGCUCAUGACGGUACCGUAAGAAUAAGCACCGGCUAACUACGUGCCAGCAGCCGCGGUAAUACGUAGGGUGCGAGCGUUAAUCGGAAUUACUGGGCGUAAAGCGUGCGCAGGCGGUUAUGUAAGACAGGUGUGGAAUCCCCGGGCUCAACCUGGGACCUGCAUUUGUGACUGCAUAGCUAGAGUACGGUAGAGGGGGAUGGAAUUCCGCGUGUAGCAGUGAAAUGCGUAGAUAUGCGGAGGAACACCGAUGGC
rnacentral:rRNA from 1 species